AGAGUUUGAUCCUGGCUCAGGAUGAACGCUGGCGGCGUGCCUAAUACAUGCAAGUCGAGCGAACUGAUUAGAAGCUUGCUUCUAUGACGUUAGCGGCGGACGGGUGAGUAACACGUGGGCAACCUGCCUGUAAGACUGGGAUAACUUCGGGAAACCGAAGCUAAUACCGGAUAGGAUCUUCUCCUUCAUGGGAGAUGAUUGAAAGAUGGUUUCGGCUAUCACUUACAGAUGGGCCCGCGGUGCAUUAGCUAGUUGGUGAGGUAACGGCUCACCAAGGCAACGAUGCAUAGCCGACCUGAGAGGGUGAUCGGCCACACUGGGACUGAGACACGGCCCAGACUCCUACGGGAGGCAGCAGUAGGGAAUCUUCCGCAAUGGACGAAAGUCUGACGGAGCAACGCCGCGUGAGUGAUGAAGGCUUUCGGGUCGUAAAACUCUGUUGUUAGGGAAGAACAAGUACGAGAGUAACUGCUCGUACCUUGACGGUACCUAACCAGAAAGCCACGGCUAACUACGUGCCAGCAGCCGCGGUAAUACGUAGGUGGCAAGCGUUAUCCGGAAUUAUUGGGCGUAAAGCGCGCGCAGGCGGUUUCUUAAGUCUGAUGUGAAAGCCC
rnacentral:rRNA from 1 species